AGAGUUUGAUCAUGGCUCAAGAACGAACGCUGGCGGCAUGCCUAACACAUGCAAGUCGAACGAGACCUUCGGGUCUAGUGGCGCACGGGUGCGUAACGCGUGGGAAUCUGCCCUUGGGUUCGGAAUAACAGCGAGAAAUUGCUGCUAAUACCGGAUGAUGACGUAAGUCCAAAGAUUUAUCGCCCAAGGAUGAGCCCGCGUAGGAUUAGCUAGUUGGUGAGGUAAAGGCUCACCAAGGCGACGAUCCUUAGCUGGUCUGAGAGGAUGAUCAGCCACACUGGGACUGAGACACGGCCCAGACUCCUACGGGAGGCAGCAGUGGGGAAUAUUGGACAAUGGGCGAAAGCCUGAUCCAGCAAUGCCGCGUGAGUGAUGAAGGCCUUAGGGUUGUAAAGCUCUUUUACCCGGGAUGAUAAUGACAGUACCGGGAGAAUAAGCUCCGGCUAACUCCGUG
rnacentral:rRNA from 1 species